UUUACUGAGAUUCUAUGGUAUGUCAAAUCUUGUGUUGAGUAUUUUGUGCUCUCUCUCUCUCUCUCCUUCCUUUUCUUAGGGGAAGGAAUAGGAGCAGAUAAGGCAAACGGUGUGAAAUACUAUAAAACAGGAACACAGAAAAUGCAUUGGAGAUUUGGAGGAGGGAGUGGCUUCUGGAUGAGGUUAUGGAUGCCUUCCUGUCAGGAGAGACAUUUGGUUUGGGCCUUGAUAAAACAGCAGUAUUUGGAUAUACACAGGUACAUUGGAAGUCAUUCCAAGUAGAAGAAGCAAAACAUCAAAGACCUGGUGCCUAGAGAGCAGCAUUCAUACCUUAUGUUUUAUAUCCCUCCUCAAGUGCCUAGUAGAGAGCUGGGCACACGUCAGCAACUUAAUACAUACUUGCUAAUUCAUAUUGUCUCUCUCUCUCUCCUUCUCCGACAGGGGCACCACCAACACUUAAGGUAAGAGUUCACUCUUUCUUUUUAAAAGAUUCAAGAGUUGCCUUACUAGAUGGCCUUGGGCAAGUCACAAAACCUUUCUGGGAUUCUCUGAGUGUGGGGUUGAUUUUCUGUCUCUAUCAGGUGAUCCUUUCCCCAUAAUCUUAAUUAUUUAUGCCAUGCUUUCUGUUCUCUUCAGAGAGAUUAGCAUUUACACAUAUGUUAAAUGUUAUUUUCUAAAUGCUAACACCAAUUAAUGCAAUCCUAUCUGUUUUUAACUUCCUUAGCCUCCAUCUUCAGGCAAGAAAGUCUGUGAUAUGAAUGAAGGGAUCAUAAAAGGCACAUGGAAUCAAAGCUUUUGGUCAACUGCCAACAAGGUACAGAGGCCCAACAGCAAUCAUCGAAUGAACUUGGAAGUGGAUCCUCUCACCCCAGUUGAGCCUUCUGAUGACUGCAGCCCUGGCUGAUGCUUGACUACAACUUCAUCAGAAAUCCUCAUGAAGAUCCAGCACCUUCCAGUUAGCCCAUCUGUGGGUUCUUGACCCUCAGAAAUUCUAUGAGAUAAUAAAUAUUUGUUGUUUUAAGUUGCUAAACUUUGGGAAAAUUUAUUUUUUGGUUUUGGGGGGUUUUUUGAGGCAGGGCCUUGCUCUGUUACCCAGACUGGAAUGCAGUAGUACAAUCACUGCUCACUGCAAUCUUGACUUCCUGGGCUCAAGCAAUCCUCCCACCUAAACCUUACAAGUAGCUGAAACUACAGGUGUGGGUGCUACCACCCUUGGCUAAGUUUCUUUUUAUUAUUAUUAUUAUUUUUUGGAGAGAUGGGGCCUCACUGUGUUGCCCAGGCUGGUCUCAAACUCUGGGGCUCAAGUGAUCCUCCUGCCUCAGUCUCCCAAAUGGCUGGGAUCACAGGUUUGAGCCACUGUGUCAGCCAGAAAAUUUAUUACUCAGUAGUAGAUUACUAUAUUGCUACUUUAUCACAUUAAAUCCUCUCAACGAUUCUGAUAGGUGAAGCUUAUUUAUCCCUUUUACAGAUGAGAAAACCAAUGCUCCGAUGAGUGCAGUGACUUCCCAUGCCUGGUAAGUGGCAGAGCUUGGAUUGACCUUCCUGUCUGUUGGAUUCCAAAGCAGAGGGACCUGGGUUCUGUUUUCCCAGCUGGAAUGUCCCCAGCUGCAGGAUGAAGGCUGAGGAAAUGGGGACAUAAAAAGGAAACCUCUUUCUCUGAUGUGUUUUCUCUCCUCCCCCCUUUUUUCAUCCCAACCACAUUAGUUAGCACUUACUACAUCUAUUGUACAUAUGUGAUUCAGGGACAAGUAGGUUUAUUAGCAACAACAUGGGAGCCUUAGGAGGGGGAUACCUGGGCUCUUGAGUGACCUUGGGCAAGUUUCUGCACUUUUCUGGGCCUCAGUUUCUUUACCUACUACAUGGCAAUAAUAAUCCCUUUCCUGCCUUCUUCACCAGGAAACCAUGAGGACGGGGUGUAAAGGGACUGUGUAAAAUGUGAAAUGUAGUGAACACUAAAAGGUGUGUUUGGACUAAGGAGCACCCCUGACCUAGGGCUCAGACCUGUACAGCCACCUCUGUACAGAGGUGAGGGCUCCCUCUCCUCUCUCACCUGGGGCUAGGUUCGGGAGGUGGACAACACUGAGUGGCAUUGAGAGCAUCAACCCACUUUCUUCAGCCUCACCCUCUCCAUGCCUUCUCUCUUAGGCCAUGCUGCAGCCCUGCUAAACUAGUGGAAAUACCCCAAGCCUGCCAGGAGGUUUCUGUCUACUUUGUCUGUGCAGUUUCUUCUGCCUUGACACCCUUCCCAACUUCUCUUCCUGGUGCAUUCCCACUCGUCUUUCAAGACUGACCUUAGAUAUCCCACUUCUAGGAUGCCUCUCCUGACCUGGCUGUAGUCCUCCUACUUCUCUUGAUUGUUGCACCUGCCCCCUGCCUGAGCUCUUGGCCUUCAGCUUCUCUUUUCCACUCAAAGCCCCCAUGGUGCAACCAGCGGCCUUUCCAAAAUGCAAAUCUUGUCAUGUCACUCCCUGCUUAAAAUAACUGGCCAAUGGAAUAAUCCAUCAAUCAGUGCUUCAGGGGUUCCUCCUUGCCCUCAGGGAAGCAUCCACACCUUCAGCUGGGUCUCCAUGCUUGGUCCCUGCUGGUCUUUCCAGCCUCUGCUCUCUUCUGUCUCCUGAUUGCCCUGCACAUGCAGUGCCCUCCAGCCACAUUGCUCUUGUCACUGUAUCUCAGACACACCUCUCUCUAUCUUUGCUCGUCCUGUUGUUUUUCCUGCCCAUUUCCACCUUGUCCACUUGAGGAAGUCCUGCCUAAUCCUUAACACCAGGUCUGAUAUAACCUCUUGGAAGCCUUCCCUAUUGGCCCCAGGAAGAGUCCUUGGCUUCCUCUUCUUCCCUCUCCUGUAUGACUACUCAUGCUUUUGUUACUGUUUGUCGUCUGUUUACACUGAGAGUUUCCUGAGUAGAGACUGUAUCUGACACAUGGUUGUGUCCCCAGCAAUGCCAGGAGAAGGGCACAGAGCAGACAUGUAGGAUAUGUGUUGCUCAUGUGAGUGGCUGAAUGAAUGAAGGAAGGAAGGGUGAAUGAAUCCAACCUUGAACCAUCACUUCUUGGCCAGCCCUAGAACUGCUGUUUCCCAGGGUAAGCCCAUUUGAUAGCCAAAGGGGAAGUAGAAGGGAGGGACUGCUCUAGGAGGGAGAAAGAAAAUCAAUAAAAAUGUAAAUCUGGUUGAGAAAAGCUGUCCCAAGCUGGCUGUGGGGAGAGAUAAGACUGGGCUGGCUGAGCCCUGGCUGACAGUGGAGGAGAGAUUGGGGACAACGGAGCUGUGGCCAGGGUAGGGCAAAGGAGGUGUGUUCCUCCCUCUGUUGUCACUUCCCCCUCCGACUCUGAUGCUCUAUGUGUUUAUGAAAUUUUUUCAGGGACAGAAGGGGAAGGGAGCUUACAAAUCCUGAUCAUCAGGUGUGGUGCCUGUGAGCAUGUACAUGAUCUUACCCGGUCCUCACAGCUUCUGGGAGAUAGGAGCUAGGCAUGCUCAACCUCACUUGCAGGUGAGCAAACUGAGGUGCAGAGAGGUUAAAUCAUUUGUUCAUCGUCACACUGUAAUAAGUGGCAGAGUCAAGAUUUGAUCCCAAGUCUGACUCUCUCCACAACUCUAUAAUCUUUUCACUCCAUUAAGGGCUUUUGACUGGGGACCUGGGAUGCUUAGGAGGUCUACACCCAGGCAUCAUAUGGUCUUCAACCUCUGAAAUCAUAUGCACAAUUGUGUAUAUGUCUCUGUGUGUGUGUUUUGUUUUAUAUUUAGUGGAGAGUCUAUGCCUUUGAUUGGAUCCCCAGAGGUGGUUUUCACUUGCCCCCCAUUGCCUAUACCAUGUUGCCUUCCUGGAGUUGGUGGCCUUUGAGCUGGGCCUGGAAGAUUGGGUAGGACUUUAUGAAGUGGGGAUGGAGAGACAAGCUGUGCGAUGGGGAUGAAGAAGAUAACCCAGGUCAGAGGGAACAGCAUAAGCAAAGGUAUGUGAAGGGGAAAGAAUUCAACACCUCCAGGCAAUGGUGAGGAUGUCGCUGAGUUCUCUUUCACUUAUCUGCAUGUCAGUCAUGACCCCUGGAUGCCAGCUCCUGAUGGGUCAUCUGCCUACCCUAGAACUUCCCAGCAUCUAGCAUCCCAGACCUUCCCAGAGUCUACAAGAAAAGAAACCUAGGCAUCAGGAUGUCAGUUCUGGUCUGAGUCCUGUCCUCUGCUGACUUUACACCAGCACAAUCUAGCAGGGAGACUUAAUGUCUUCUCCUCCCAGCUUCCUGGUACAGUGUAAGAAAGUAAGCUUGCAGAUGCAAAUGCUUGUGGCUCUUCAUUGACCAGAGGCUAUAUUAGGGGAGAGGACUUCCCUGGGACCCCCACAGGGCCUGGAAAACCCCUCUGGCCCUGACUUGCUCCACCCCUUGGCUCUUGACCCAUUUCUCUCUUGGGUAACUCCUGAGUCUCCUCACCAUGUCCAGUUUGGAAGACUUUAGGCACAAGGACCUCGUCUUUUCCUUCAGAUCUUGGCUCAACCAAGAGGCGGACUCACCGUGAUGUGAAUGCAGCUUGAGCAUCCAGGACUCUCCCCAGAUCCAGGGAGGGCCUCAGCGAUGUGUUCACGUUGUCAUAUUUUUAUAAAAUUUGCAAAGGUAAGAUACUUUAACCACAAUCAAAAUUACUAUUUUCUUCCCACUCCAACUUCCCUUGUGUUUCAAUUUUCCUUUAUGUGGGAUAAUUGGAGUGGCCAUGGGCACUUCUGGGAUCUGACCAAGGGGAAGCUGAGUGGGGGACUGAUUUGAGUUGGGUUCACUGGGAUAUGUUUAUGUGGUUUUCUGAAACAGAGGAUAUAUUAAUAUUUAUGUGGUUCUCUGUGUAUAGAUAAAUCAUUGCUAGUAAUCUCUGUGUAGAGAAUAGCUUCUAGGAAUUCUACCCACUGCCCAGCUCACUUGGCAUGGUGAUAUUAAGUUGCCAUAUGCAGAGGUCAUAUCGUGAUAUGAAUGUGUGUCAUGGCACCCAGCCCAGGAAGUAUAUGGGCAGUAGACAAGAAACAGGAGAAACCAGGUUUGAAAUGUACAGAGCCAGAAGCUAGUCUGUGGAAAAUUCUUCUAAUCAUCAGGGGGAGAAAAUGUGUCUCAGAGGUUAAGCAGGGCAGUUAAUAAAAGUAUUACGCAUUUUGGGGGGAUUGUGUGAUGUAUCUGUUUUGAUUUCUUUUCUCAUUAUAGGUAAAUAUAGGUACCUUGUACCUAAUUUUAUAUUCAUAAUUUUGUAUAUUUUUCUUAAAGAGGGCUCCUCAAAUUAUAAAACCUUCAGUUCCCACAAGGUCUACACAUCCAACCUUGGCUCCAUCAUUUAUUUUCUGUGUGAUCUUGGGGAAGUCACUUGUGCUUUCUGAGCCAGUUUCCUCUUCUAUAAAAUGUGAA
rnacentral:lncRNA from 10 species